GACGAACGCUGGCGGCGUGCCUAAUACAUGCGAGUAGAACGCUGAAGGAGGAGCUUGCUUCUCCGGAUGAGUUGCGAACGGGUGAGUAACGCGUAGGUAACCUGCCUGGUAGCGGGGGAUAACUAUUGGAAACGAUAGCUAAUACCGCAUAACAGUAGAUAUUGCAUGAUAUCUGCUUGAAAGGUGCAAUUGCAUCACUACCAGAUGGACCUGCGUUGUAUUAGCUAGUUGGUGAGGUAACGGCUCACCAAGGCGACGAUUCAUAGCCGACCUGAGAGGGUGAUCGGCCACACUGGGACUGAGACACGGCCCAGACUCCUACGGGAGGCAGCAGUAGGGAAUCUUCGGCAAUGGACGGAAGUCUGACCGAGCAACGCCGCGUGAGUGAAGAAGGUUUUCGGAUCGUAAAGCUCUGUUGUAAGAGAAGAACGAGUGUGAGAGUGGAAAGUUCACACUGUGACGGUAUCUUACCAGAAAGGGACGGCUAACUACGUG
rnacentral:rRNA from 1 species